UUCUCCAGUCCAAAUUGAAGAAAGUCGAGACGAAGGUCUACAAAUCUGUAACAACGGGAAUUUAAAUCAUCGCUGUGUUGUCUUCUAACGAAUAGAAUUUACAGCUCUGCAGUAUCAACAACAAUGGAAAUGGGAUUGCAAAAUGGUGGUCUUAUUCAGGAUGAGAAUCAUAAUGUUCACUAUAAUGGAUCCUCUGCUACAGGGAAGGCAAAUGCCAUCAAUUUGUUAAGAAAAAUUCAAGAAAGCCAGUCUUAAACCAGUCAUCGAAAUGGCAGACCCCAAAGAAUAUCAAGUUUAUUGAUGAAGAAACUGGCGCAGGCAAAAAGAUAUUUCAAACUCUGGGAAGCCGCCAAACCUUCACGAGGCCUCAAAGAAGAAGCAGAACUUAGAAGUUGAGCACCGUUAGGGAAAACUCUCCUCAUCACAAUGCUAUUUGUGAGGAACCAUUUCUACACGACCCUCGAGAAUGCAUUAAAGUACAAAAUUACUCUAUGGACAAGGAUCAAUUUCUGAGCAUCGUUGGACUUGAUCUCCCCAAAGAGUUGACAUCCCCUAAAAAGGUCAGUUUCCUCCAUAAUGAACAUUGGUUGGUUGAACAAGUGAUUGAUAGGGAAGGCUCUCAAGCUCUCUAUCACCUCCAUAGAUCCAUGACCCGGGUGAUGUUUUUGGUGUUGGAUCAUUGGAAACUUGAAUUUGUUUGCCAUUUUACCACAUAAAUACAAGGCUAGCUAAGAAUAUGUCCCRAAGAACCUUGUAGGUGUAAUUGUAAACGGCGUCGCCAUUUCGCUCGUGACGAUGCCCAAAAGGAUCAGAACAUCACAAACUAAGACGAGAUAACUGCGCCAAGGAGCAGCCAAUUGUUUGGUCCAAGAGCCUCUGAUAUUGAUAGUGGAAGCAACAGAUCCAACAUGGUGAAAUCAAUGGAGUUCUUGAAGGCACAGACAAGCCGAAUCUGUGGUUUCCUGCUUCAGACAAUCAUUUAAUGAAGGGAGUCAUAUUAGGUGAAAAAUAAAUGUUAUCCAAAUUUUUAUUCUCAACUUUAAAAUCCAAUCCACCCGCCAAAUAUAUAUUACAUAAA